AAAAGUUAAAUUUGUAUGGAGUUGGAACGUUUCCCUACGUUUGCCGCUAGGGGCGCUGUUCCAACUGCAUACAAAUUUGAGUUA
rfam:Bombyx mori DNA, contig: Bm_scaf98_contig35669, strain: p50T/Dazao, build 2, whole genome shotgun sequence.